UUAAAGAGUGCGUAAUAGCUCACUGAUCGAGUAAUCCUGCGCCGAAAAUGUAUGGGACUAAGUAAUUUGCCGAAGCUGUGGGAUAUAAAAAUUAAAAUUUAUAAUAUAUCGGUAGGGGAGCGUUCUGUUAUAGGUUGAAGCACUAGUGUUAACGGGUGUGGACGAGACAGAAGUGAGAAUGUUGGCUUGAGUAGCGAAAACAUCAGUGAGAAUCUGAUGCCCUGAAAACCUAAGGUUUCCUCCGGAAGGCUCGUCCGCGGAGGGUAAGUCAGGACCUAAGGCGAGGCUGAAAAGCGUAGUCGAUGGACAAUAGGUUUUAUUCCUAUACUGUUAGUUAUCGAUAACGAGGGACGAAGGUAGCUAGACUAGCCAAAUACUGGUUUAUUGGUUUAAGUGUACGAGGUUUUGAGAAGUAGAGAAAAUACUUUGAGCUGAGUCAUGAUGACGGAGUAUCUUACGAGGUACGAAAGUAGUUAAUGUUAAACUUCCAAGAAAAGCUCGAUAUUAUCUAGUUAAUAAAUACCUGUACCCUAAACCGACACAGGUAGGUAGGUAGAGUAUACCAAAGGGCGCGAGAUAACUCUCUCUAAGGAACUCGGCAAAAUAACCCCGUAACUUCGGGAGAAGGGGUACCUAAUAGGUUGCAAUAACAAGGUCCAAGCGACUGUUUACCAAAAACACAGGUCUCCGCUAAGUUGUAAAACAACGUAUGGGGGCUGACGCCUGCCCAGUGCCGGAAGGUUAAAGAAGUUGGUUAGUCUCAGACAACGCUAAUAACUGAAGCCCCGGUGAACGGCGGCCGUAACUAUAACGGUCCUAAGGUAGCGAAAUUCCUUGUCGGGUAAGUUCCGACCCGCACGAAAGGCGUAACGAUUUGGACACUGUCUCAGAGAGAGACUCGGCGAAAUAGACCUGUCUGUGAAGAUGCGGACUACCUGCACCAGGACAGAAAGACCCUAUGAAGCUUUACUGUAACUUGAAAUUGACUUUGGGUUUUAUUUGCGCAGCAUAGGUGGGAGACUAAGAUGUUUAUCUUUCGGGAUAAACUGAGUCAUCCGUGAGAUACCACUCUAGUAAAACUAAAAUUCUAACUUUGUACUGUUAGCCAGUCAGGGGACAGUUUCAGGCGGGCAGUUUGACUGGGGCGGUCGCCUCCUAAAAGGUAACGGAGGCGUACAAAGGUUUUCUCAGAUCGGUCAGAAAUCGAUCGAAGAGUGUAAAGGCAUAAGAAAGCUUGACUGUGAGACUUACAGGUCGAACAGAGACGAAAGUCGGUCUUAGUGAUCUGGCGAUAUUGAGUGGAAAAGUCGUCACUCAACGGAUAAAAGUUACUCUAGGGAUAACAGGCUGAUCUCCCCCAAGAGUUCACAUCGACGGGGAGGUUUGGCACCUCGAUGUCGGCUCAUCGCAUCCUGGGGCGGUAGUACGUCCCAAGGGUUGGGCUGUUCGCCCAUGAAAGCGGUACGUGAGCUGGGUUCAGAACGUCGUGAGACAGUUCGGUCCAUAUCCGGUGUAGGCGUUAGAGUAUUGAGAGGAUUCUUUUUUAGUACGAGAGGACCGAGAAGAACAUACCGCUGGUGUACCAGUUAUUAUUCCAAUAGUAAACGCUGGGUAGCUACGUAUGGAAAGGAUAACCGCUGAAAGCAUCUAAGUGGGAAGCCCACCUCAAGAUGAGUACUCUCAUUGUAUUAACAAGGAAGAUCACGGUAAGACGAACCGUUAUAUUACUUUUCUCUAUUGACUAAAGACUAAUAAAUAAAUUUUAGUUCUAAUAUAGAGUAAUAAGUGAGCUUAAUAAAUUAAUAUUAUUAAGAUAAAUAGGCAUUAAGUAAAAGUAUAGUAAUAUAUUCAGCUGAGAUGUACUAAUAGAUCGAGGACUUGACCUU
rnacentral:rRNA from 1 species